rnacentral:misc_RNA from 1 species
AAGUCGUAACAAGGUUUCCGUAGGUGAACCUGCGGAAGGAUCAUUAAUGAAUUUGGAGAAUUGAUGCUGGCCUUUGUGCAUGUGCUCGUUCUCUUUAAUCCAUACACACCUUGUGUGCAAUGUAUAAGAGUCCCUUUCCAACUCGGAUUGGACUUGAUUUUUCUCUCACACGUCUUCAAUUGCAAGUCUAAGCUUUCAGAGUAAUCAAAAAAACUCGAAUACAACUUUCAACAACGGAUCUCUUGGCUCUC